UAGCCUAGUGGUUAAGGCCAUGGAUCGCCAAUCCGGAGACGGUGGGUUCGAUUCCCGU
rnacentral:tRNA from 1 species